rnacentral:rRNA from 1 species
UACGUAGGGGGCUAGCGUUGUCCGGAAUCAUUGGGCGUAAAGCGCGCGUAGGCGGCCCGGGAAGUCCGCUGUGAAAGUCAAAGGCUCAACCUUUGAAUGUCAGCGGAUACUGCCGGGCUAGAGUCCGGAAGAGGCGAGUGGAACUCCUGGUGUAGCGGUGGAAUGCGCAGAUAUCAGGAGGAACACCGAUUGCGAAGGCAGCUCGCUGGGACGUAACUGACGCUGAGACGCGAAAGCGUGGGGAGCAAACAGG